rnacentral:tRNA from 1 species
GUCAGGAUGGCCGAGUGGUCUAAGGCGCCAGACUCAAGGCUCUCUCUUUCCCAGCUGGGUGUUCUGGUCUCCCUGCAGAGGCGUGGGUUCAAAUCCCACUCCUGACA